GACAGAGGGGGCAAGCGUUGCUCGGAAUUAUUGGGCGUAAAGGGCUCGUAGGCGGUUUGUCGCGUCGGGAGUGAAAACCUUGGGCUUAACUCAGGGCUUGCUUUCGAUACGGGCAGACUAGAGGUAUGCAGGGGAGAACGGAAUUCCUGGUGUAGCGGUGAAAUGCGCAGAUAUCAGGAAGAACACCCGUGGCGAAAGCGGCUCUCUGGAACGGUACUGACGCUGAGACGCGAAAGCGUGGGGAGCGAACAGG
rnacentral:rRNA from 1 species